rnacentral:rRNA from 1 species
GACGAACGCUGGCGGCGUGCCUAAUACAUGCAAGUAGAACGCACAGUUUAUACCGUAGCUUGCUACACCAUAAACUGUGAGUUGCGAACGGGUGAGUAACGCGUAGGUAACCUGCCUGGUAGCGGGGGAUAACUAUUGGAAACGAUAGCUAAUACCGCAUAAUAUUAAUUAUUGCAUGAUAAUUGAUUGAAAGAUGCAAUUGCAUCACUACCAGAUGGACCUGCGUUGUAUUAGCUAGUAGGUGAGGUAACGGCUCACCUAGGCGACGAUACAUAGCCGACCUGAGAGGGUGAUCGGCCACACUGGGACUGGGACACGGCCCAGACUCCUACGGGAGGCAGCAGUAGGGAAUCUUCGGCAAUGGACGAAAGUCUGACCGAGCAACGCCGCGUGAGUGAAGAAGGUUUUCGGAUCGUAAAGCUCUGUUGUAAGAGAAGAACGGGUGUGAGAGUGGAAAGUUCACACUGUGACGGUAUCUUACCAGAAAGAGACGGCUAACUACGUG